rnacentral:rRNA from 1 species
GUACGGAUCCUUCGGGAUUAGUGGCGGACGGGUGAGUAACACGUGGGAACGUGCCCUUUGGUUCGGAACAACUCAGGGAAACUUGAGCUAAUACCGGAUGUGCCCUUCGGGGGAAAGAUUUAUCGCCAUUGGAGCGGCCCGCGUCUGAUUAGCUAGUUGGUGGGGUAAAGGCCCACCAAGGCGACGAUCAGUAGCUGGUCUGAGAGGAUGAUCAGCCACAUUGGGACUGAGACACGGCCCAAACUCCUACGGGAGGCAGCAGUGGGGAAUCUUGCGCAAUGGGCGAAAGCCUGACGCAGCCAUGCCGCGUGAAUGAUGAAGGUCUUAGGAUUGUAAAAUUCUUUCACCGGGGACGAUAAUGACGGUACCCGGAGAAGAAGCCCCGGCUAACUUCGUGCCAGCAGCCGCGGUAAUACGAAGGGGGCUAGCGUUGCUCGGAAUUACUGGGCGUAAAGGGAGCGUAGGCGGACUGUUUAGUCAGAGGUGAAAGCCCAGGGCUCAACCUUGGAAUUGCCUUUGAUACUGGCAGUCUUGAGUACGGAAGAGGUAUGUGGAACUCCGAGUGUAGAGGUGAAAUUCGUAGAUAUUCGGAAGAACACCAGUGGCGAAGGCGACAUACUGGUCCGUUACUGACGCUGAGGCUCGAAAGCGUGGGGAGCAAACAGGAUUAGAUACCCUGGUAGUCCACGCCGUAACGAUGAGUGCUAGUUGUCGGCAUGCAUGCAUGUCGGUGACGCAGCUA